AUGGCUUUGAAAAACUCUGCCGUCCUCCUCAUCGGGCUUCUUCUCUCUUGUGUUGCCACGAGCAGUGCGGCGAGAAUCCUGGAAGAGACCGUUCCGUCCAAGGAGGAGCACCAGCCUGAGGUGCCACCGCUUCCUAAGGUAGAACUGCCACCGUUUCCGGAAGUGCACCUACCGCCUAAGCCUGAGCUUCCCAAGGUGGAGUUGCCGCCGGUCCCGGAGGUGCACUUGCCACCUAAGCCUAAGUUGCCCAAGGUGGAGUUGCCUCCGGUCCCGGAAGUGCACAUGCCACCCAAGCCGGAGCUGCCCAAAGUGGAGCUGCCGUCGGUCCCUGAGGUACACCUGCCACCCAAGCCGGAGUUGCCCAAGGUAGAGCUGCCAACAUUCCCGGAGGUUCACAUGCCACCCAAGCCGGAGAUGCCCAAGGUGGAGCUGCCGCCGAAGCCCGAGAUGCCCACUGUUCCCGUGUUCCAUGUCCCGGAGUCGGAGCCCAAGCCGUGA
rnacentral:rRNA from 1 species